GACGGAGGAUGCAAGUGUUAUCCGGAAUCACUGGGCGUAAAGCGUCUGUAGGUGGUUUGAAAAGUCCACUGUUAAAAUUGAGGCUUAACCUCAAAGAUGCCGUGGAAACUUUCAAACUCGAGUAUGGUAGGGGUAGAGGGAAUUUCCAGUGGAGCGGUGAAAUGCGUAGAUAUUGGAAAGACCACCGAUGGCGAAGGCACUCUACUGGGCCAUUACUGACACUGAGAGACGAAAGCUAGGGGAGCAAAUGGG
rnacentral:rRNA from 1 species